AUUGAACGCUAGCGGGAUGCUUUACACAUGCAAGUCGAACGAGUUGCGGACGGGUGCGUAAUAUAUCUGAACGUGCCCAGUCGCCUGGGAUAACUACUCGAAAGAGUGGCUAAUACCGCCUCCUAUUCUCGCGGCCGCUAUCGGAUUAGCUAGUGUGUGGGGUAAAGGCUCACCAAGGCAACGAUCCGUACCUGGUUUGAGCGGACGACCGGAAAAACGGGGAUUGAGACACGGCCCAGACUCCUAGGGGAGGCAGCAUUGGGGAAUUUUGGAAAAGGGGGGAAACCCUGAUCCAGCCAGCCGGGGUGUAUGAGAAGGCCGUCGGGUUGUAAAGUACUUUUGGCAGAGAAGCGGGAUCAGCAGAAUAAGCACCGGCGAACUACGUGCCAGCAGCGGCGGUAAUA
rnacentral:rRNA from 1 species